UCCCGGGUUCAAAUCCCUUCAAAGUUCAAGUUCCCAAUAGAUCAUUGAAGUUAAGCAACGUUGCGCGUGGUUUGUGUCCGGAUGGGUGACCAUCUGGGCAAUCGCGGACUGCUGGCU
rfam:Asian citrus Psyllid, Diaphorina citri - Florida Strain, whole genome shotgun sequence.